CGGUGGGCCAGUGGCAAGCCAGCGCAGCAAGUGUAUUUUCAAGCACCGUCGCACCCUCAUAACUUGACCUCAGGGAGCGGAUGAUGAGGACUUAACCAGCUGGCUGGAACCAGCACGGCGAAGAAACAGCAAGGCACUGAGCGAAGUGCACGGCGGGUCUUGAGGGUUGAGGAUCACCGGCUGGCACUGCCUGCCAGCCAAGCCAUUACACGAGGAUUGUUUGUUCUGUCAUUCGCAAGUUAGACGUUGCAGGGUAUGCAUGAUGGUGUCGAAUGUCUAAGAUAAAGCAUCGUGCGACAUAGGAACCCGAACCGGUGCAGGCCGCCGGCAACGUGUUCAUGACCCCUUAAGAAAGCACAAAAACGCCCCAACCCGACGCGACCCAACACAGCAUUACAAUCAAGAUGUCAACGGCUCUGAAGUAUUGCUCAACGGGGAGUUAGCGAAGAUUCAUACCAGUCAGGCAACUCUGCCAGGCAAACCAAACCACCAAACGCUCGCGGUGCCCCCGACUGGUCGUCCAUUGAAGUCUUGACUGG
rnacentral:lncRNA from 1 species